UACGUAGGGUGCGAGCGUUAAUCGGAAUUACUGGGCGUAAAGCGUGCGCAGGCGGUCUGUUAAGUCAGAUGUGAAAUCCCCGGGCUUAACCUGGGAACUGCAUUUGUGACUGGCAGGCUAGAGUAUGGCAGAGGGGGGUAGAAUUCCACGUGUAGCAGUGAAAUGCGUAGAGAUGUGGAGGAAUACCGAUGGCGAAGGCAGCCCCCUGGGCCAAUACUGACGCUGAUGCACGAAAGCGUGGGGAGCAAACAGG
rnacentral:rRNA from 1 species